rnacentral:rRNA from 1 species
CCUACGGGUGGCAGCAGUGAGGAAUAUUGGUCAAUGGACGAGAGUCUGAACCAGCCAAGUAGCGUGAAGGAUGACUGCCCUAUGGGUUGUACACUUCUUUUAUAAAGGAAUAAAACGAGGCACGUGUGCCUUUUUGCAUGUACUUUAUGAAUAAGGAUCGGCUAACUCCGUGCCAGCAGCCGCGGUAAUACGGAGGAUCCGAGCGUUAUCCGGAUUUAUUGGGUUUAAAGGGAGCGUAGAUGGGUUGUUAAGUCAGUUGUGAAAGUUUGCGGCUCAACCGUAAAAUUGCAAUUGAUACUGGCAGUCUUGAGUACAGUUGAGGUAGGCGGAAUUCGUGGUGUAGCGGUGAAAUGCUUAGAUAUCACGAAGAACCCCGAUUGUGAAGGCAGCAUACCGGCGCUCAACUGACGCUCAUGCACGAAAGUGUGGGUAUCGAACAGGAUUAGAUACCCUGGUAGUC